rnacentral:sRNA from 1 species
ACUAUGUCUCUUCUGGGUACUUCAACUUUUGUAGGAUUAAGCAUUAGUUAAGAUUUAGUUAUAGUGUGAAUGUUCUUUGGAUUUUAGUAGGACAUUCAGUAAAUUAUUUCUUGCAUAUACUGGUAUACAUUCUGCCUACCAUUAGAACCCAGAGUGUGUUUAAAUUAGUGUCCUAAAUUAAUCACAUUUUUUUUCUGCUGUGUGUUUCUAUUAGGUUUCAGAAAAGGGAUCCCUAACAUCAGAAGAGUUUGCUAAGCUUGUGGGAAUGUCUGUCCUCCUAGCCAAAGAAAGAUUAAUCUGAGAGAAUGUGGAUUCAUCCUGUCAUCUUUCUCAUGCUCAAAUACUUAAAAUGGUUCUUUUGCCC